UACGAACCGUCCAAACGUUAUUCGGAAUUACUGGGCUUAAAGGGUACGUAGGCGGCGCUGUCAGUCGGGUGUGAAAUCCCACGGCUCAACCGUGGAAUUGCGCCCGAUACUGCAGUGCUUGAGGGAGACAGAGGUAAGCGGAACUGAUGGUGGAGCGGUGAAAUGCGUUGAUAUCAUCAGGAACACCAGUGGCGAAAGCGGCUUACUGGGUCUCUUCUGACGCUGAGGUACGAAAGCCAGGGGAGCGAAGGGG
rnacentral:rRNA from 1 species